GAUGAACGCUGGCGGCGUGCCUAAUACAUGCAAGUCGAACGAAGCGGGGACGGGGGAGUAUCACGUGGAUAACCUCCUAUAAGACUGGGAUAACUUCGGGAAACCGGAGCUAAACCGCGUACUAAUACAUGGAUCCGCGUUGCAUUAGCUAGUUGGUAAGGUAACGGCUUACCAAGGCAACGAUGCAUAGACGACCUGAGAGGGUGAUCAGCCACACUGGAACUGAGACACGGUCCAGACUCCUACGGGAGGCAGCAGUAGGGAAUCUUCCGCAAUGGGGGAAAGCCUGACGGAGCAAUGCCGCGUGAGUGAUGAAGGUCUUCGGAUCGUAAAACUCUGUUAGUAGGGAAGCGGUACCUAAUCAAAAAGCCACGGCUAACUACGUGCCAGCAGCCGCGGUAAUAC
rnacentral:rRNA from 1 species